GGUGAAAAUGGAUUUUACUUUAACAAGAUCUAAAUGUAUUAUUGUACAUUGUCCAGAUAGCUUGUAUUAUGACUCCAUAAAGCUGAUUUCAUCAUACCUAUUGUUCCUCGGGUGAGCGAUGUGGCUCAUAAGCCUUUUGUUUUAAUUAUUCGGGAUAAAAAUAAAACAAGUGUUAAAAGAGAGAACAAAAAAUACUUCACCAUUAAACUAAAAUGGCUGAUGUUUUUAUAAAAAAUGUAUCAAAAAGUAAGCUUUGGAUGAAACUAUGUAUGAUCGUCAUAUACCUUAAUUCAAAGAAUGUCUGUAACCUGAAAAUAUGCCCUGGCUUGUGAUUUGGUCAUUAUUUGUGCAAGUUCAAUUUUACUGGAAGAAAAACGGUUGAUGCAUUACUUUCCAACAGAGGAGGAUUUGAAUUAUAGCUGUUUUAUACAUUUUUUUCACUUAAACCUGACAUGAAGAUUGUAGCCUGAAAAUAUGUCCUGCCAAUUGAAUUGGUCAUUUGUGCAAGUUCUUUGUCAUUAAAAGAAAUAUACAAU
rnacentral:sRNA from 1 species